rnacentral:rRNA from 1 species
GAUGAACGCUGGCGGCGUGCCUAAUACAUGCCAGUCGAGCGAACAGACGAGGAGCUUGCUCCUCUGACGUUAGCGGCGGACGGGUGAGUAACACGUGGAUAACCUACCUAUAAGACUGGGAUAACUUCGGGAAACCGGAGCUAAUACCGGAUAAUAUAUUGAACCGCAUGGUUCAAUAGUGAAAGACGGUUUUGCUGUCACUUAUAGAUGGAUCCGCGCCGCAUUAGCUAGUUGGUAAGGUAACGGCUUACCAAGGCAACGAUGCGUAGCCGACCUGAGAGGGUGAUCGGCCAUACUGGAACUGAGACACGGUCCAGACUCCUACGGGAGGCAGCAGUAGGGAAUCUUCCGCAAUGGGCGAAAGCCUGACGGAGCAACGCCGCGUGAGUGAUGAAGGUCUUCGGAUCGUAAAACUCUGUUAUUAGGGAAGAACAAAUGUGUAAGUAACUAUGCACGUCUUGACGGUACCUAAUCAGAAAGCCACGGCUAACUACGUG